rnacentral:piRNA from 1 species
AAGAUUGUUUGAAUGGGCUGUUCUCGGGCC